AGAGGGAGGCAUUGCAGAUGCGCCUGCUAUGUCACUUGUGUGUCAGUGGGGGGCAGAAAAGAGAGAAGCUAUGUCUAUACUUGGUUGUGAUCUGAGAACAUUUGAAUGAUUAGUAAUCUUAACAUU